UUUAUCCGGCAUAAUGUGGACGGGGCCUUAAUUGAUUGAAUACAAUUAAAGCUAAGCACAUAAAAAGYGCAAGGCAUGGAUCUCAAUCACAGUUGAGCACUUGCCACCAAGCAGAGAUAACAGAAGAGAAUCAAGAAAGCAGAGAAAAAGAAAGAAAACCAAGUUCCCACAAUGGCUCAAGGGAGCUUCCUUUGUCUUGCCAUGUUUGUUGUACUGGCUUCAGUGAUGGUAGCAAAUGCAUAUCUGAAUGAUCCUAUUUUUAAUUCUCGUCAUCAAAGGGAUUCUAGUAAAGGAGAUCUUCAUGAAGAGAAAAGAUCGCCCUGCGAAUGUGCUAAAAAUGAUCGGCAGGGAACAUUCUGGUUCAUGAAGGUCAGCUGUCCUGAUGGAUAUGGCUAUACAGGAGGUUGUAUAUUCCCAGGGGUAUUCGCUAAGCUUGGAUAUUGUUGUUACAGAUAAAUAAAAACAGCAGUAAACCCAAUGUUAUUUAUCCAGGACCAUGUUAUGGAUGUUAAAGUAAUAUAAAGCAAGAGUAUGUAAUACGAAUAAAAAAGAAAUCGUUGUCAUACGAAUAAUAAAAGAAUACUGAAUAAAACUAUCGAGGAAUUA